GGCGGAACAGUGCUGCGCCACGAAACGCACAAAACGGUCCACGAUCCGCGAGGCGAAACACCCAAAUCCAAAAAAAUAAAAAGAAUAGAAUAAAAUAAAACUCGUGCGUCCGGCCGCACGCGAUAUGUGCUGAAAUAAUUAGACGCAGCGCCGUUUUUCGGGGGUGGAGGCCCGUGCCGUAAUUAUAUUGCAACAGUGCCGCUGCGUGAACAAUGUCUAACUGUAAGGUGUGGUUAGACAACUACAAUGGUCAGUACUUUCCUGGCAAUCUCAUCCAAGGCAAGUUUAUAUGCAACUUGGACAGUGAAUCGCCACUUAGAGCUGUCAAAAUACGAAUUGUCGGAAGUGAACAUACGGAAUGGUUGGGAGAACAAAAGACCACGAACCCAACAGACAAUUCCACGAAAAAUGAAACUUGUAACUUCAUAGGAGAUAAUAAUUUCCUGUUUCAUGAGAUUAUCCUUUAUGGAGCAGAAACUGGCAGUACUAGUCUGUCUGCUGGUCAACAUAUCUACCCGUUCAGCUACAAUUUACCCCACAAUCUACCCACUAGUUUCGGGUGUCCCAACGGCAACAUAACUUACAGGGUCCAUGGAAUAAUAGACCGCCCCAUGAGACAAGAUUUCGAAGACCAAUUCUUGUUUGUCGUCAACGCACCAAUUGACUUAAAUCGGGUCGAACAAACUCCAGACCUCUUAGGACCUUCGUCUUAUUCUGAUGAAAAAACUGUGUGCUGCUUCUGCUGUGCAUCCGGACCAAUUUCUAUGGAUGUUCAGUUACCUAAAAAAGCAUGUAUACCUGGAGAAACCGUUUCAAUGCACGUUAGAAUCUCAAACCAGUCGAAUGUCAAUGUUGAUAGUUUAAAAGUUACGCUGAAACAACGGUUAACAUUUAUGGCCAAUGUGCCAAGUACCUCGGAAAAAGUAGAUGGGAGGGAUUUAGCCACCGUUCAAGAUGUUGGAGUGGGAGCCCAUGGGGAACACACCUACAACGUUCAAUUACCAAUACCACCUGAAACUUUCCUGCCCAACUUUGACCAGUGUAAACUAUUCAAAGCGUCACACAUUUACGAGGUUCGAGCUGCCUUACCUUCCUACCACAAAGAUUUGGUUAUAAAAAUCAAGCCAAUAGUGGGAAAUAUCCCACCAGGUGGCCAAAUUCCUCCACAACCACCUGCAGGAGAAUCUCAAGGUCAACCGGGUGGUUUCCCUCUAGCAACUGCUCCAGGAGGAUUCCCACCACAAGGACCACCACCUGGCGGAAUUCCAGCUCAAGGUGCUCCAGGAGGAUUUCCUCCGCAAGGAUACCCAGGUGGCCCAGGCGGCCCACCUCAAGGAUUCCCGCCACAGGGAUAUCCCGGUGGACCCCCGCCUCCGGGAGGUUACCCAUACGCCGGUGGUGAUCCGCAAGGGUACCCUGGCGGUGCCCCACCUCAAGGGUAUCCCGGCGGUGCGCCACCUCAAGGGUAUCCUGGCGGACCUCCGGGACCGAUGGGAUUCGCUAGCCCUGGCGGAGUCUACCCACAAUUGCCUGCUCAACCAGGAGCACCAACUGCACCCACAAACGGUUAGAUAAUAAGUUUUAAUUGUGUUACUCCAAAGCUCAAGAAGCUGGUGAAACGACCAAUUCAAGGGAUCUACCUCCAUCAUAUGAUUCUGUGAAGCCUCAAUAAAGCGCAUACUGUCAGCUUGCAUUGUCACUACAUACGCUUAAAAAGUGAAUACACAUAUUAUUACUGUCUGUCAGAAACGAAAACAUUUGUUUGAACAUUUUUAAUCUUUUAGUAGUGUUUUAUUCAAUGUGUGUGUAGUUUUACAUAUAUUUUAUAGUAUAUUUUUGUAAUUAUUUUCUAUUUUUGCUGAAAUUAAACGGGCUUUUAAAGUA